UUCAGGUCUCAAAUGUUCAUUAGUUGGGUGUUUAUUGGAUGUGCUCUGUGUUUACAGCCGGUCCAGCGGUGUGGUCUACUCGGCCCUGCGGUCAUGUACGGCACACGAAAGACCUGGGACGUUGGCCACACCCCCUGCCUGCAGGAGCUCUGGAACAAAGACCUCUCAUUGGAUGGUAAGCACUGUCACAUGGGUGGACUACAAAACUGGUGUGGCAACAUUCUUCUGAGGAUAGUUUGAAUGUUUGAGUGCAUGUAGGAGGUUGGAGAUACACAGAGUAGGUGUGUGUUUGUGUGUGAGAGAAGCUCAGUCAUCGAGGAGAGAGCAAGGGAUGUGUUCUUACCCACUGACAAGGAGCAACGCAGUCAGACGUUUUCGGACCAAACGGAGAACACUAUGCGUUCUAUCCAGGUAAAGAAGGGUAAAUCUCCUUAGAGACGAGAGCAGGGCUUGAACACGAGGACUAUUGGUUGUGCCAGGGAAAAUAUGUACGUGUGCUUAAUGCUCUCUGUGCUGCACAGGACAAUAUAACAACAGGCACAGCGAUUGUGUGAGAAACAAAGGACAAAAAGGACUAAAACGGGAAGCAAACAAAGAGGAAUAUCAGGGAAAUGUCUAGCGGCUGGUUUUUGCAGUGAUGCAGUGACAGGUUUGCAUUCAGCCUGAUGCUCUUCUACGAAAGCGGCUCUACUGCUGUGUCAUCGUAAACCGCACUGGCGAGAGGCUGCACGUCUCAUCCAUGAGUGUGACAGAGAGCUGUUUGACGAACAAAACGUUUCAGCAAGUUCCCUGGAUAUCCUGAUGAGUGAUGGUGAGGAGGAGAGCUCCUUCCUCUCGUUGCCCAACUCUGUCCUUCAGCGCCACUGUUUGACCUCUGACCUCUCUGAAACGGCCACCUCAGAACAGCAGCAGCUGCUCAUACAGACACUGCAAGAGAGAGUUUGUGAGUUCCAGGCACGUUUGCGCAGCGAAGACGCCGCAAAAAGACACCUGCUACAGCGACUGCAGACACACGACCACCAGCUCAACCAAGACAACCACCAGAACGAGGAACAGUUGUCCAUUAAUCAAGAACCUCAAGAGCAGCUCAGACUGCAGGACGGCCAGCUCAUCCAAGCUGUGUCACCUACAGGUGUGAGGAGCUCUAGUGUUUUGAGACAGAGGCCUGUGGAUUUUCCCAGUGUUGUACAAGUGAGUAAAGUUCACUCACAGGAGCAACUGCAAAAAGACGAGGGAGAAAAACUCGCUCUCAUUACAGGGCUGCACACACAGGUACGUUGAAUACACACACACACACACACACACACACGGAGAGAAUAGGGAUCAGUUUUCCAGCCAGACUCACAAGAGCACCACCAGAUCAUUUACAUUCCUCAGCCACCAUGUAUUGUGACCUUUUAUGCAUUGAUAUUCAUUGUUUCUGUCUGGUUAGAUUAAAAUAGAUCGAUGCAUCAUGAGGGUGGAUGCAUGAAACUCACUGACUCAUUUUUGUAAAGGGAUUUGGCUGAAUAAUGCUGUUGGUUUGUGGUUUUGCAGGUCAAGGAGCUGGAGGAGAAACUAGUGGAUCAGACGCAGGAGGUGGAGAGACUGCGCUCUGAGCUGGUGAGAGACUGAAUUAUUAGGGACGGGGAGAGUUGUGGCACACUCUGUGCCAUUGUAUGAAUCACCUGAUCCUGGUGGGCUAAAGUCACCACACUUGUGUGAACCACAUUUCUAUUGUUUAAUAAAGAGCUCAUGCUCCUGCAUGUUUACACUGACCUGAUUUAGUUUUAUAAUGGGAGGGGAGGGAGUGUUAACCUGGUGAUCUAGUUUUGUUUUGUUGAUAGCAGAGGAAUGUAUGCCUUCAGCCCUGUAAGAUUUACAAUUGGCACUGAUCUCAAAUUUGAGAUGGGUGUGAGUGUACUUAACUGUACUUUACAACUUUGUCCCCCAAAGAAAGCUAAAUAUAAUAAAACCUCACCCCCUUUUGGUUCAAACGAUUACUUUCAUAUUUUAAAAAAAAUGAUGCAUUGUUGCUCAAAUGUGACAGUAAAGACAUUUUUAAUAUUACAAAAAAUUUAUAUUUCAAAUAA
rnacentral:lncRNA from 1 species